CAUGUAGGCGGCUUAAUAAGUCGAGCGUGAAAAUGCGGGGCUCAACCCCGUAUGGCGCUGGAAACUGUUAGGCUUGAGUGCAGGAGAGGAAAGGGGAAUUCCCAGUGUAGCGGUGAAAUGCGUAGAUAUUGGGAGGAACACCAGUGGCGAAGGCGCCUUUCUGGACUGUGUCUGACGCUGAGAUGCGAAAGCCAGGGUAGCGAACG
rnacentral:rRNA from 1 species